AAAUAUAAGGAUAUAGAACAGAAUUUAUUUUAAUUCAUUGUAAGAUGUGUUCGCCUAGUGUUGUAUUGAAACUUGUAGUGUUUUGAGAGUGUAAAUUUCUUUUGGAAGAUGUGUGAAACGUUUUAAUUUUACUGAAGGCAUAGUGUACGUGCACAUGUAGAUGACAGGAGAGACCAGUUUUGAAAACUCUCUGGCCACCUCUUUUUUUCUUCUUACUUAAGAUAUGUUCUGUGAAUUGUGCUUCUAGAAAGGUGGGGGGAUGUGGUAAGAGGAAAGUCGAGGAAUUAAAAAUCAUUCCAAUAAAAUGGUUUAAUUUAUGCCUCGGCAGUUAAGCAGUGCUCCUGGUUAACAGAAAUACCCUUCAGCUACACAGGAUUUUGGAGGGUUGGAGGGCACUCAUUUGCACAUAAAUAGCCAUUAACUGAUAAAUUCCCAGAGGUCUCCUGUUGCAUGUUAGUGGUUCUGACCUACUUAGCUAGCUUAAAUUUGUUUUACAGAAUUAUUAUAAUUCUAUCCUUGGUACUUAAACUUUGUGAUUAAUGCAUGCCUCACAAUACAAUUAAAGUAUAAUUAUACAGUUUUGCAGUUUCCUAUCGUGGUGUUAUUAUUACCAAGAUCUGGAUUUUGCAAAUAUUAGAAGAGUUAAGGUUUUGAUAUUUAUUACUUUUGCUGUUAUUAUGUGAUUAUGUUAAAUGAGACCUUUUUAUGUCUGAAGAAUGGAUUUGAGAGAGGCAGACCAUUCGAUGCAGAAUUUGUUAGCUUGGAAAUGAUUGAAUCAGUCACUGUGAGCAUUGGGUCCACUGCGUGGAUUGACAAGUCCCGGUUUUUUCUUGCUUAACCUUUUUCAAAUGUUUCUGAAAUAUAGUAGGUUCUUCACACCAUUUUUUUUCUCCCCCUGGAAGCAAUGUUGGAAAAAUGUCGGAAAGCAAUAGAAAAACCCCGGAGUGGGGUUCAGUAGAUCUGAACUGCGAUGCUGACAGUUACAAAAAGAAC
rnacentral:lncRNA from 1 species